UAGAGUUUGAUCCGGCUCAGGACGAACGCUGGCGGCGUGCUUAACACAUGCAAGUCGAGCGGAAAGGCCCUUCGGGGUACUCGAGCGGCGAACGGGUGAGUAACACGUGAGUAACCUGCCCUGGGCUUUGGGAUAACCCUCGGAAACGGGGGCUAAUACCGGAUAUCCACUUGUGAUCGCAUGGUUGUGGGUGGAAAGUUUUUCGGCCUGGGAUGGGCUCGCGGCCUAUCAGCUUGUUGGUGGGGUGAUGGCCUACCAAGGCGACGACGGGUAGCCGGCCUGAGAGGGCGACCGGCCACACUGGGACUGAGACACGGCCCAGACUCCUACGGGAGGCAGCAGUGGGGAAUAUUGCACAAUGGGCGGAAGCCUGAUGCAGCGACGCCGCGUGAGGGAUGACGGCCUUCGGGUUGUAAACCUUUUUCAGCAGGGACGAAGCGUAAGUGACGGUACCUGCAGAAGAAGCGCCGGCCAACUACGUGCCAGCAGCCGCGGUAAGACGUAGGGCGCGAGCGUUGUCCGGAUUUAUUGGGCGUAAAGAGCUCGUAGGCGGCUUGUCGCGUCGGCUGUGAAAUCCCGUGGCUCAACUGCGGGCUUGCAGCCGAUACGGGCAGGCUAGAGUUCGGUAGGGGAGACUGGAAUUCCUGGUGUAGCGGUGAAAUGCGCAGAUAUCAGGAGGAACACCGGUGGCGAAGGCGGGUCUCUGGGCCGAUACUGACGCUGAGGAGCGAAAGCGUGGGGAGCGAACAGGAUUAGAUACCCUGGUAGUCCACGCUGUAAACGUUGGGCGCUAGGUGUGGGGGGCCUCUCCGGUUCUCUGUGCCGCAGCUAACGCAUUAAGCGCCCCGCCUGGGGAGUACGGCCGCAAGGCUAAAACUCAA
rnacentral:rRNA from 1 species